CUCAAGGUUCCGUCCACCUUGGAGAUGAGGGGCUUCAGAUGGCUGGACUAUGUAACCUCCCAACAGCCAGGGCCUGGAGCGCCAAAGUCUUCCUCUAGAAACUCUGAAACUCUUCUGACCCCUUCACGAGUGUUCUAAGAGGACUGGAGGUGGCGACAGCAUCACAAAGAGCAAACCCCAAGGAGAAGGUCAUAUUUCUGGAGGUCAGGGGCAAGUUGAAGAGAAUGGGCUCCAGUGCUCGCCAUCCUUGCUGUGACUGACGCCUGGGUUUCCUCAAAGACGCUGAAGGUGAUUCCCCGCAUGAAGGCCACUUUGCCUUCCCAUGUGGAAUAUUUCAAUACAGUAAGGUUGAAUAGGCAAAUGCAAUUUGUUAAACAAAUCGGCAAAUGAAGCAGUGCUAAGUCAAUUUCAAAAUUGCUGGUUCUUCCUAUGUAGCUUGUUACACUACAAUUUUGACACGCUGAUUUCAAUUUGGGGUUACACUUCCACGACAAGGAAUUAGCAAUGUCACAAUUGUCAGAACAAUCUUUGGUCUUCUAAUGAACCACAAAAUAAUAAAUCAUUCUAUCAGUGUGUAUUCACCUUUACAUCUCUACCAAGUAACCCCUAAGUGACCAAGCAGUUUCAAGAUAAAAUGAUACAGUAUCGAAUAAAAUGAAAGCAC